rnacentral:rRNA from 1 species
UACGUAGGGGGCAAGCGUUGUCCGGAAUCAUUGGGCGUAAAGAGCGUGUAGGCGGCCUGGUAAGUCCGCUGUGAAAGUCCAGGGCUCAACCCUGGAAUGCCGGUGGAAACUGUCAGGCUCGAGUCCGGAAGAGGCGAGUGGAAUUCCUGGUGUAGCGGUGAAAUGCGCAGAUAUCAGGAGGAACACCAAUGGCGAAGGCAGCUCGCUGGGACGUUACUGACGCUGGAGGCGCGAAAGCGU